CCCCGCCCGGCAGGAAGUGCGCCCUGGGCUUCUGCGUCUGUCCUCCCAGUGUCCAACGUUGCCUCGCGGAGGCCGCCGUGCGGAGCAAAUGUCUAACGGAAAUCAGAGGUGGAAAAGAGGUUGGAGGAGCCUGCUCCGUUCCACUCGCUUUUACUGAUGCGCCCACCAGCAGCCACGCUUGGGGCUGGGGGCUUUGAGGACACGCACGUGAGUCAGGGUCUUAUGGCCUCUAAGGCACGCGCAGGAAGAACCCGAAAUAGACGGAAUUACGACCCAUAUCGGAAGAAUAGCAUAAAGGGCGACGAGGCUCAAAGGAGCUAGAGGACAUCGGGUGGGGAACCUGGAAGGGGCUUCAAGGAGGGGGUGUGGGGAGUCUUCAGCCUCACUCUGAGGUCCCCAUUGUGUCUUGCUUCUGCAGCUGACCAAGGUUUGUGUAAAGUCAAACCUCAGAAGAGCGAGCUUGAGGAGAGAGCUGCAAAUGAUAUACGACUCUUCAACUCACACUUUCGCCGAAGAGACUUUUGAAAGAACCAUGAGGUGAACUCAUCCUUAUGGAUUCAGAAGACGAAGAAUACAAGCAAGCAGGAGAAAGUCUAAGAAGAAAGUUCACCUGGUAUGUUCCACCAAAAAGAAAGAAAAAAAUCUAUAUGGUGAGUGUAUGUUGCAUUAUCAAGGAUAUUCCUGAUAGAAGAGAACUUACAGUUUUGUUAGUCAUCGGUGAGUAGUGAUUCAUUCAUUUACAACUAUAUAACUUUGACAACGGGAAGAAUUUUUUACAGACUAGCUCCUGGCUCUAUGUUUCAAACUUUGUUUCUUCUCUGGUACUCUCAUUCAUCUGGUGCCAGUGCCUCAAGGCACGUUCAUUUCAUGAUGUGACCUCUGGCCCUGCAUCUUCAUAGAAGCAUACCUACACCAGGAUGUCUAGCAGUAACUUAUCUAUGCACAGAAGUGACAGCAAACCUUGUAAAUACAUCCUGCUAAACUCAAAUAAAUGUAUCCGAGCUCGACUUUCAACCGGCAGCCACUGCAAGGCCAUAAAACCCAAGGGCAAGAGUAAGGGAAGGGGAAUUUGGACUGGAGAGGUACAGUUGUCCUUAUCUGGCUGCCAUUAAAAUAACUUACUUUGUCAAGUUUCAACCCUGUGAGCACAUUGCUAAGGCUUCUCCCAGGGCCAGGGGAAAUGGGACUCACAAGUUCAAGCAAAAAACGCCCUGAAAUGUAAGCUUCAGCUUCAGAGGCAACCAGCCUCCACAUCCACUGCUAGUGAGAAUACUGAGAAACAGGUACUCUCAAACGGUGUUGGCAAAAACAUGAAGUGCUAUCAAAAUAAAAGCUCUAGACUUUGGGAGGCCAAGGUGGGCAGAUUGCUUGAGCCCAGGAGUUUAAGACCAGUGUAGGCAACAUGGUGAAA